rnacentral:rRNA from 1 species
CUUGCACCGAGCGGAUGAGUUGCGAACGGGUGAGUAACGCGUAGGUAACCUGCCUCUUAGCGGGGGAUAACUAUUGGAAACGAUAGCUAAUACCGCGUAAAAGUCGAUACCGCAUGAUAUUGAUUUGAAAGGUGCAAUUGCAUCACUAAGAGAUGGACCUGCGUUGUAUUAGCUAGUUGGUGAGGUAACGGCUCACCAAGGCGACGAUACAUAGCCGACCUGAGAGGGUGAUCGGCCACACUGGGACUGAGACACGGCCCAGACUCCUACGGGAGGCAGCAGUAGGGAAUCUUCGGCAAUGGGGGCAACCCUGACCGAGCAACGCCGCGUGAGUGAAGAAGGUUUUCGGAUCGUAAAGCUCUGUUGUAAGAGAAGAACGAGUGUGAGAGUGGAAAGUUCACACUGUGACGGUAACUUACCAGAAAGGGACGGCUAACUACGUGCCAGCAGCCGCGGUAAUACGUAGGUCCCGAGCGUUAUCCGGAUUUAUUGGGCGUAAAGCGAGCGCAGGCGGUUAGAUAAGUCUGAAGUUAAAGGCUGUGGCUUAACCAUAGUACGCUUUGGAAACUGUUUAACUUGAGUGCAGAAGGGGAGAGUGGAAUUCCAUGUGUAGCGGUGAAAUGCGUAGAUAUAUGGAGGAA